rnacentral:tRNA from 1 species
GGUGACUCAGUGGUAGAGUGUUUGCCUUGCAUGCAUGAGGUCCUGGGUUCGAUUCCUCAGCACCA